rnacentral:rRNA from 1 species
AUUGAACGCUGGCGGCAGGCUUAACACAUGCAAGUCGAGCGAGCGGCGGACGGGUGAGUAAUGUCUGGGAAUCUGCCCGAUAGAGGGGGAUAACUACUGGAAACGGUGGCUAAUACCGCAUACCAUCGGAUGUACCCAUAUGGGAUUAGCUAGUAGGUGGGGUAAAGGCUCACCUAGGCGACGAUCCCUAGCUGGUCUGAGAGGAUGACCAGCCACACUGGGACGGAGACACGGCCCAGACUCCUACGGGAGGCAGCAGUGGGGAAUAUUGCACAAUGGGCGCAAGCCUGAUGCAGCCAUGCCGCGUGUAUGAAGAAGGCCUUAGGGUUGUAAAGUACUUUCAGCGGGGAGGCGUUACCCGCAGAAGAAGCACCGGCUAACUCCGUGCCAGCAGCCGCGGUAAUAC